rnacentral:rRNA from 1 species
AUGAGACAAUUGCAUCAAAAUAAUAACUUGUCGUGGCUCCUCCUAGGUGACCUGAAUGAAAUACAAUUUCUUCAUGAAAAGGAGGGGGGAAACCCAAGGCCCAUACAAUACAUGCAAGCGUUCCAAGAGGCUAUUGAUGACUAUGAACUGCAUGAUAUUGGGUAUACUGGAGAACCAUUUACAUGGUUCAGGGGCAGAAUAAGGGAGAGAUUGGAUAGAGGCUUGAAAAAUGAUGGUUGGACUGCAAUGUUUCCUAAUGCUUCGCUCCAGAACAUGGAAUACAACCAUUCGGAUCAUAAGCCACUGUGCUUAGAUACAAACUACUCUGGUGGUGCCACGGGUGGACACAAUGCAAAAGUGAAAAGAUUUGAGGCACAGUGGUUGAGAGAAGAAACUUUUGAUGCUACUGUUCAGGAGGCAUGGGAGAAAGUAGAGGUAGACCCUAUUGCUCACGGCAUAUAUGAGAAGCUAAACAAGAUGGGCGAUUUCAUGAUUGGGACCAGCGGGUCCUGA